AUCUGCUAACAAGCACAAGGACCCAACUCCAUAUCCACAGACGGGGAUUGUUCCGUCCACGCGCAUAAAUCUGGAGCUGAACAUAAGCUCCAGAAAAUUGUAAGUGCAAUUUGUUUCUUUCAUAUCUAAACAGAAAUUAUAACAUACUACACUAUAUUACGUUCUCUCUGCUUAUUUCACAUACUUCCUUGGAUCCGAGAACAAUACUACAGGCGCUGCUUCCCUGCACCUUUCUUGACAUAUCAACCACACUACCAGAAAGAAGAGAUUUGAUUUGCGGAUCCAAAGCGGCCCCACAUUCAGAAUACAAGUGCCAAAAAAUCCAGUCCCUCACAAAUCUGGAUCACAUGUAAUACCUGGCUGUUUACUUUUUCCAGCUAUGCUUCCAUCAAGAUCCUAGAGAGCAUCAGCAAUACACUGUAUAGAGGUAGAGAGGGAAUGGAACACAACAUAGAAAGGCAGGACUAUGUGAUGACAUACCCAUUACCUUAUCUGUUAGUGUUUCUGGAAUCUACCAAUCAUACAUUAUUCUACCAAAACUAGCUGCUAAGGGCAAACAUAUGGAUGACAUGAAAUAGUUUAGAAAUAGUGAUGCAUCAUGUAAAAGAUCUUCGUUUAUAUAGACCAUACCAGGACUGUCGCAAGUCUUGUUUCUUUGUCAGUUUUUGGUUUCUUAUGCAGGUGCUCAAUAUCUCGAAGGGAAAGUAGCUCACCCCUGGAAUUGAAGCAAGAAAAGGAAUAAUGGAAGAAAGAUUUUCCUGGAGCUGCAUUAAUUUCUUUGGCCAUUUGAGCGAUCCGGAUCUUCUUAAACUCUUCCUGGG